GUAACCAGGAAACAGACCCAACACAGACUCCCCUGCGCAGCCGCAGAACAAUCCACUCCCCACCCUGUCCACGCCUCCAUGUCGGACACUCCGCUGUGACACCAGAUCACCGUGUGUCGAUCUUAAAAAGGAAAGCAGAAAGUGAAACGAGACAGCCUUUAACAAAGAACACUACCCCAGAGAGGACCUGAGGGUCAAGCUCAUGUGCACUGAAGGAGCCUAGGGGCAGAAGAAUCAGUUGUGUCCCAGACAAGGGCAGUACGGAGUCCCAGCCCAUUCAUGGUGCAAUGAAACCUUAUGCAAGACACCCUGGAACAUUGCACAAAACUGUCCCUACAUGAAAAGCUACAAAGGACUUCCCUCCAGACAGAAAAUGGAAGCAAACCUAGUAUCGCUUCUGGUUCA